rnacentral:tRNA from 1 species
GCCGGCGUAGCUCAGCGGUAGAGCAGCGGUUUCGUAAACCGCAGGUCAAGGGUUCGAAUCCCCUCGCCGGCUCCA